AUCAAGAUGUAGAACUCUCAGCUCCUUCUCUAGCACCACGUCUGCCUGCCAUGUCUCGCCAUGAUGCCAGGUCCCACCAUGAUGAUAAUGGACUGAACAUCUGAACUGUUACUCGGGGCAUUGCUAAGAUGUUGGAGACUGGAAACUUCAUUGUGCUUACAGACCCCCAAAACUCAGGCUCUCCACACCUCCCAUCAACGAACUGAUAGAUGCCUUUCAACCUGAACCAUUAGAGCUCCACCUGUUCAGACCUGGCAACCUCAUGUGGAUCGAAUGCCAUCAAGCUGAGACCUUGUCUCUUCGGUGGAAGGAACCUCAUUCUGUGAUCUUA